AACAAAAACAAAACAAAAAAUACAUGCAAAAAUAUAUAGAAAAAAUGACAUUUAAAUUACUGGGGAAGGGAGGCCGCGGGGAACCAAAACUGGUUAUCGAGCUGCGACACCCAAGGUUCUAACACCUAGUUUGACAGAUCGGGGAGAAGAGUUUCAACGAAUAGAUACCAUAUAAAUUUUACUAAAUAGCUAACUAAUUGCAAUUGUUAUAUAUUAUUACUAAAAAUUACCGUGCAUUAAAUGUGCCAUAAUAGCAGCGAAUAACGGGGGAUUUCCCGUUUGCAUAGACGUAGCUGUAGCGAAAUGUUGUUCUGUAGAAUAACUGGGGAAUUUUGAAGGUGACCUGACCACAACGUGGUUGUGCUAUGAAGCGAUAUAGCAAUGGACACCGAUCAGAUUUAUGCGAGCAGACGAACGAUAAAGGAUUUUAACCGCCCUGUUCUGAAGUACAUUGAUUCGAUGCAAAAUUGAUUGAGAUGUGGAUCCCCAAGCUACAAUAGCAUAUUGGAUAUAUGUUUGAAAAAGUCAACACAGAUUUCGCACUGUCGAGAAGACCGGUGUCAUCUGCGAACAAUUUUGUCAAGAGGUCAGAGCAAUUUGAGAUGUCAUUGAUAUAUAAAACGAAAAACAGUGGGCCAAGACAGCUGCCCUGGACAAUUCCUGUUUUUAUGGGAAGCACUUCAGACCGAUUUAAAUAAUGGAAUGACGCGGGCUAGUUUGAGGGCUGAUGGGAAGAUGCCAAUUAUUAAAGAAGCAUUGAAGAAGUACACAAUGAUCGGGGAAAUAAUGUCGGCAAUGAUCUUGAGAAAUGGUAGCUCGAAAGUAUAUUGAUUCCUUGGUGGUGGAGCGAAGAAAUUCUUUGAAAUUUUUAUUAGAAGGUGGCACACUGUCAAUAAGAUUUUUACCGAUGCUUGUGAAAAAAUAGUUAAGUUCGUUGGCAAUUACAAAUGGGUUGGUGCUUUUGGAGCCAUUUCUAAGGAGGCAUUGUUCCAUCGCUUCAGUGAAGUUCAUAAUGUCACUACGAGGGUGUUUGUAAACAACGCCAAUGAUGAUGUUUUUCUUGGUAUAGGGCAUAUAGAUGGAGAUCGGGCUGAGGAGACCUCGGAGGAAUUAUCUGGACCGGACAGAAGGACGUUUAAAUCAAUGGAUUUAUGACAGAAAUACCUACAGCUAGAGGGAGGCAAAAGUAUACAAGUAAAAUGAAAUUUAAGAUUACACAAUUUACAAUGCAUAUAAGAAUUGCUACGGCAUGGAGAAUGAAUUACUGAACACAAGUUAUCGAAUGUCAUGGAGACUUAUGAUAAUGUUAUAAAAUGAAGACCGAUAGAAAGAGUCUGACCUAUUUGAUUUUGUGAAGAUCGUCUUCAUCUAGUAUUUCUAAUGUGUCCGUCAUUCUAUUCUUUUUUAUUCGGACUUUUCCGUUUGAAGUCCAUAGAUACGCAUAUCCACAUUUGUUUUUCAACACUUUCGCUUGAAAAAAUAAAUCCUUAUUCCUGUUUGUUAAAUUUUCGGCAAUAAAAACCUUGGCGAUGUUUUUAAUAUU